rnacentral:tRNA from 1 species
GUCCGGCUUCGCUGAACGGCACGGCAGCCGCCGCUUCUUCCGAGAGCGGAAUGAGAGCGCGCUAUUCGCCGGCCGUUCAAGCAUUGGCAGCUCAGCA